rnacentral:rRNA from 1 species
GGGUGCGAUCAUACCAGCACUAAUGCACCGGAUCCCAUCAGAACUCCGCAGUGAAGCGUGCUUGGGCGAGAGUUGUACUAGGAUGGGUGCCCUCCUGGGAAGUCCUCGUGUUGCACUUCUUU